UACGUAGGGGGCAAGCGUUGUCCGGAUUUAUUGGGCGUAAAGAGCGUGUAGGCGGCCUGACAGGUCUGCUGUGAAAACUCGAGGCUCAACCUCGAGAUGUCGGCGGAAACCGUCUGGCUACAGUCCGGAAGAGGAGAGUGGAAUUCCUGGUGUAGCGGUGAAAUGCGCAGAUAUCAGGAAGAACACCUAUGGCGAAGGCAGCUCUCUGGGACGGUACUGACGCUGAGACGCGAAAGCGUGGGGAGCGAACAGG
rnacentral:rRNA from 1 species